rnacentral:lncRNA from 1 species
CUCCCCGGGGGCUCCUUCUGCUAGGACUCCUGGGACAACUUUUUGCUUCCAUCUUGCCACAAAGUUCCGCUGCAUAAUUUGGUUGUUACAGCUCCUUAGAAAUUACCCCAUUCCCCUAAACCCGUCUUUUUCUCUGAUGACCCAGAAUCAAACACUUUGAUCGAGCUUUUUGCGAGGCCCUGCAGGUUCCUCUCCCCCGGGCUCUGUUUUCCUUCUGUUCUUGACUCUCAUCUACCAGAGCCCACGGAGCCCACAAUCCUUCCCCACGAGGCCCUGUAACGCUCAGCAGCCCUCCCGCCAUGGAAAAGCCUCGCUCCCAGAGAAAGCCCUGGACCCUAAGCCCCUUCGCCCCGGAGGCACGUUGUCUCCGAGCGGUCUCAAGUCCUCAUGAGAUUUUUUGGGAUUUCUUCAUCCUCCUGUGUCACCUGCCUUUCCCCACUUGUUCUGUAAGCCCCUAUGGACCUGGAUGUGACCCAGGACCCAAUGUCCCUGAUGCCUUCAGUCCUACAAGGAUGUUCCUGGAGGUGACCAAGGACAUGACGGCUUGGUGGUAAGGACAUCAGGGCUGCCUCUCUGCAUAGAAACUGACCUGACUAUUUUCCUCUUUUCUGAGUAGUUUAUCAUUUCUGGAUUGCUAUGUAUCAUCUUGGAAAAAAGAUCAACUAAACGUUUGGCCUGGACCAGCCUGGUCACCAGCCUUCUGAGUCUCCUGGGCACUUUUGUGGGGUUCGUCGUCAUCCUCCUCAGCCUGGCAGUGGGGUUCACCGCCUUGGGACAGUGCAAACUGGACGUGGGGUCCAGGCAGACGCCCCAGGACAACUUCCCUUCAAGAGGCAGGACCGCUGACUGCGCCUUCGCUGGCUCCAGUCUGCUGGGGGUGCUCUCGGUGAUGCUCCUCUUCACGGUGUUGGAGCUUGGUGUCGCCGUCCCGUCUUCCAUCCUCUGGUGGAAACAGGCCCGGUCAAGCAUCCCUGGGAUCGUGCGUUUCCUGGCUCAGAGCGACACAGUUGUCACCAACAUGCUCGCAAGAGCAUCUGCUGAUCCUGAUCCUCAUCCCGGAUUUGAAGAACAGCUUCCGAGCUGCCCACAGCUGUGGCCUUCACCGAGACUGCGGGACUUCUGCUCUCCGGCCGCCCCAGCCCGUUACCCCAGGAGCACCCUGGGCGGACUUCCUCCUUCCCCGGCGAUCCCGAUAUGCUGCAGCUGA